rnacentral:rRNA from 1 species
CCUACGGGGGGCAGCAGUGAGGAAUAUUGGUCAAUGGGCGGAAGCCUGAACCAGCCAAGUCGCGUGAGGGAAUAAGGCCCUACGGGUUGUAAACCUCUUUUGCCGGGGAGCAAGGGCGGGGACGUGUCCCGGCUCGGAGAGUACCCGGAGAAAAAGCAUCGGCUAACUCCGUGCCAGCAGCCGCGGUAAUACGGAGGAUGCGAGCGUUACCCGGAUUUAUUGGGUUUAAAGGGUGCGUAGGCGGGCUUUUAAGUCAGCGGUAAAAAUUCGGGGCUCAACCCCGUCGGGCCGUUGAAACUGGGGGCCUUGAGUGGGCGAGAAGAAGGCGGAAUGCGUGGUGUAGCGGUGAAAUGCAUAGAUAUCACGCAGAACCCCGAUUGCGAAGGCAGCCUUCCGGCGCCCUACUGACGCUGAGGCACGAAAGUGCGGGGAUCGAACAGGAUUAGAUACCCUUGUAGUC